GUCUCUUCACACGGACGCGCAUGAAAUUUGGUGCCGUGACUCGGAUCGGGGGACCGACCUCCCUUGGGAGAUCAAUCCCCCAUCCUCCUGCUCUUUGCUCUGUGAGAAAGAUCCACCUACGACCUCAGGUCCUCAGACAGACCAGCCCAAGAAACAACUCACCAAUUUCAAAUCCGGUUCGCACGCCGCCCCUAAUCCUGCUUGAAGCAGCCCCGAGAAACAUCGCCCAUUCUCUCUCCAUACCACCCCCCAAGACUUCAACACUAUUUUGUUUUAUUUUUCUUAUUAAUAAAAGAAGGCAGAAAUGUCAGGCCUCUGAGCCCAAGCCAAGCCAUCGCAUCACCUGUGACUUGCACGUAUACAUCCAGAUGGCCUG
rnacentral:lncRNA from 1 species